GUCUGUUCGCUCUAAAGAACAGUCUGGCCUGCCCACUGAUUUAACUUUUAAAUGGCCGCGGUACUCUGACCGUGCGAAGGUAGCAUAAUAAUUAGUCUUUUAAUUGAAGACUGGAAUGAAAGGUCGGACAAAAAGCAAACUGUCUCAGCUUCUUUCAUUGAAAUUAACUUCUAAGUGAAAAGGCUUAGAUAAUUUUAAAGGACGACAAGACCCUAUAAAACUUUAUAUUUAUAUGUAUAAUUAAUUAAUUUUUAGUGAAAACUUUAUUAGCAGACUAAGUAUUUCGUUGGGGAGAUGAGAGUAUAACAUUUAACUGCUUUAAAUUUUAACAAUAAUUCUUGAAUAUCAUUGAUCCUUUUUAAGACCAAAAGAAAAAGUUACUUUAGGGAUAACAGCGUUAUUUUUUUUAAGAGUUCUUAUCGACAAAAAAGUUUGCGACCUCGAUGUUGAAUUAAAAUUUCCUUAUAAUGCAGCAGUUAUAAAGGUAGGUCUGUUCGACCUUUAAAAUUUUACAUGAUUUGAGUUCAAACCGGCGCGAG
rnacentral:rRNA from 1 species